ACGGGAGGCAGCAGUGGGGAAUAUUGGGCAAUGGGCGAAAGCCUGGCCCAGCAACGCCGCGUGAAGGAAGAAGGUUUUCGGAUUGUAAACUUCUUUUAUCAGGGACGAAGAAUGUGACGGUACCUGAUGAAUAAGCCACGGCUAACUACGUGCCAGCAGCCGCGGUAAUACGUAGGUGGCAAGCGUUAUCCGGAUUUACUGGGUGUAAAGGGCGCGUAGGCGGGGAUGCAAGUCAGAUGUGAAAUCCAUGGGCUUAACCCAUGAACUGCAUUUGAAACUGUAUUUCUUGAGUGUCGGAGAGGUAGACGGAAUUCCUAGUGUAGCGGUGAAAUGCGUAGAUAUUAGGAGGAACACCAGUGGCGAAGGCGGUCUACUGGACGAUAACUGACGCUGAGGCGCGAAAGCGUGGGGAGCAAACAGGAUUAGAUACCCUGGUA
rnacentral:rRNA from 1 species